ACGAACGCUGGCGGCGUGCCUAAUACAUGCAAGUCGAACGCUUCUUUUUCCAUCGGAGCUUGCUCCACCGGAAAAAGAGGAGUGGCGAACGGGUGAGUAACACGUGGGUAACCUGCCCAUCAGAAGGGGAUAACACUUGGAAACAGGUGCUAAUACCGUAUAACAAUCGAAACCGCAUGGUUUUGAUUUGAAAGGCGCUUUCGGGUGUCGCUGAUGGAUGGACCCGCGGUGCAUUAGCUAGUUGGUGAGGUAACGGCUCACCAAGGCGACGAUGCAUAGCCGACCUGAGAGGGUGAUCGGCCACAUUGGGACUGAGACACGGCCCAAACUCCUACGGGAGGCAGCAGUAGGGAAUCUUCGGCAAUGGACGAAAGUCUGACCGAGCAACGCCGCGUGAGUGAAGAAGGUUUUCGGAUCGUAAAACUCUGUUGUUAGAGAAGAACAAGGAUGAGAGUAACUGUUCAUCCCUUGACGGUAUCUAACCAGAAAGCCACGGCUAACUACGUGCCAGCAGCCGCGGUAAUACGUAGGUGGCAAGCGUUGUCCGGAUUUAUUGGGCGUAAAGCGAGCGCAGGCGGUUUCUUAAGUCUGAUGUGAAAGCCCCCGGCUCAACCGGGGAGGGUCAUUGGAAACUGGGAGACUUGAGUGCAGAAGAGGAGAGUGGAAUUCCAUGUGUAGCGGUGAAAUGCGUAGAUAUAUGGAGGAACACCAGUGGCGAAGGCGGCUCUCUGGUCUGUAACUGACGCUGAGGCUCGAAAGCGUGGGGAGCAAACAGGAUUAGAUACCCUGGUAGUCCACGCCGUAAACGAUGAGUGCUAAGUGUUGGAGGGUUUCCGCCCUUCAGUGCUGCAGCUAACGCAUUAAGCACUCCGCCUGGGGAGUACGACCGCAAGGUUGAAACUCAAAGGAAUUGACGGGGGCCCGCACAAGCGGUGGAGCAUGUGGUUUAAUUCGAAGCAACGCGAAGAACCUUACCAGGUCUUGACAUCGAUCUAAAGGCUCCAGAGAUGGAGAGAUAGCUAUAGAGAAGACAGGUGGUGCAUGGUUGUCGUCAGCUCGUGUCGUGAGAUGUUGGGUUAAGUCCCGCAACGAGCGCAACCCUUAUUGUUAGUUGCCAUCAUUUAGUUGGGCACUCUAGCAAGACUGCCGGUGACAAACCGGAGGAAGGUGGGGAUGACGUCAAAUCAUCAUGCCCCUUAUGACCUGGGCUACACACGUGCUACAAUGGGAAGUACAACGAGUCGCAAAGUCGCGAGGCUAAGCUAAUCUCUUAAAGCUUCUCUCAGUUCGGAUUGUAGGCUGCAACUCGCCUACAUGAAGCCGGAAUCGCUAGUAAUCGCGGAUCAGCACGCCGCGGUGAAUACGUUCCCGGGCCUUGUACACACCGCCCGUCACACCACGAGAGUUUGUAACACCCGAAGUCGGUGAGGUAACCUUUUGGAGCCAGCCGCCUAAGGUGGGAUAGAUGAUUGGGGUG
rnacentral:rRNA from 1 species